GAUCCCAAUGCGGGGCUCAAACUCCCCAACUGCAAGGUCACGACCUGAGCCGAAGUCGGACGCUCAACCGACUGAGCCACCCGGGCACCCCGACACCUGUGUUUCGAUCAGAGCCCCUACCAUGAAGAUGAAACAGUCAUCGCUCGAACUCCAGGAAGGCAGAGAGCUCGGCAGCCCCCCAUCACGGUGUGGAACCAUCCAGCUAAGGCUCUCUGGCCCUGCUGCUCUCGCUGCCCCUUCAUUUUCUUGCCCGCCCUCUCCCAACCGUCACCUCCAUGUCUUCAGCUCAUGGAACGGAGAAGAGGAGACCUAGGACCCAGGGAGCACACGUCCCCUUCCCCCUCCUGCUCGUCUUCUUGAUAUUCUCUGAGGGAUCUUCCCCGAGAUGAUAUUCUUGGUUUGCACCGGGUGUUGUGACGACGAUGCAUUCAGAUGGCCGGGACCUCCGGGGGCCUCCCUCUCGCCAGCCCCCUUCCAAUCACGUCCUCCGAAUGUUAGCUUGAUGGUGACGAUGCCCAGUUCAAGGGACUGUCUCCUUCAUCUGCCAGGAAUGCUGGGACCAAGGCUUGGAGAGACAUAGGGCAUGGCAGAGUGGAGUGCCGUUGGAGGACUCUGGUCCCCCCCACAGGUGCCCUGGAAGGACUUGUGCCUUAUACCCAGGAAGGCCUCAGGUAAAUGUCUGUUGAGUAAAUAAUGAAUACAAGAAGAGAGAGAAAGGAAUCGGUGAAGUACAAUACAGCCUUCCACAGGACCUGUGAGAAACAAAAUCGCCUGGAGAAUUCAGGCUCGUGCAUUCAGAAUUAGUUCACAUUCGGCAAUUAACGGCGUCAGCCAGUCAAUGUUUGCUGGGAGAAAGGACGUGAGAAAGCAUCGAGUCUGCAAGCCUUCGUGACACGUCACUGAGUUUCUGAACCUUGAGGACGGUGCCUGGAUUGACCGACAAGCACUUCCUCUCCUUAUUUCCACGGCAAGUCCUUUCUUGAGCAGCCUCCUAUGAUGGGAUGUUUACCCAGUAUUUACAUUUGGUGGAGGAUCCGCGGUUGGUGACAGCUGAGGCUUUACAAGGUGAGCUGGUGACUGCGAGCGGGGCCUCUGAGGACGUCUCCUGCCUUGCCACUGAGUUACGACAGGCCGAACGGGAGGACGCGGUCAGAGCCGGCCACUGGAGCAGACCACAGUGUGCCCUCCCCAGUGAGCUCCCCUGAAGUGGCCUGGAACCUGUACAGAGGGGGGAGGGAAGUACCACCGAUGGUGAGCGUGCCCAUGACCUUGACCACAGAACCGCAUCAGGCAAGCUGACAUCCUGAGAGCCGCUCUCCGAACCUGCACCUGGCCCACUCACUGGGGCCAGGCUGGCAGCCAGCAUCCGGGAGUCGAGGAAAGGGGACAGUGGUGGCUUCAGAGGCUAGACGCAGAGAGAGAAGCAGAGUCAGGUGGGAGGGCUGAGGCAGGAUUUCACGGACUCUGAUCCUGUUUCAGAGUAAAACGGCCAAAGGGAAGGAGAAGCCUGGAUAGCGUGUUUACAUCAGGAGAGGCUCUUUCCAUUAGCUAUUGUGCAAGACAGCAGGAAUGGUGCCUUCCACUCCACGAUUGAUUCCUCGUGAUUUUCCUUUCAUAUAUCAGAAAGCCAGGCUUUCUCCGCUGCAAACACACCGGGAGCAACCAAAGUAGCAACACCGGCUUUUUCGAGAAGUGAGGUUAAUUAUUCGGAGGCCAUCUGAGUUUUAAAACCAUCUGGUCAACAUUGCAGAGACAGGAGUCUCCAGUAGAUGGCAGCACUAAGACAGGAGCGCCACAUAGUCUCAGACUCCAGAACAUUCACGUCGUGCGUGAGCAGCCGCACUCCUCGUGUUGGAACCUGUGUUAUGACUCAUUACCAAUGAAAAUAUUCACUAAAUGUGCUAUAGUCAUAACAGGAUGAGUCACUCAUUCAAUCUUAUUCACUCGUAAAAUAAGAGAAAUAAGAAAGUCCACUUUUCCUGCAACCUCUAAUCCGAGGGCUGUGUGUUUGUGUCCCAAUUUCCAGAAAAUAAACGUGGUGAAUACUGUUGAAAUUCAUUGCUUCAACCAGGAACACCAUCUUUUGCUUGGACACUUGCUUUUGCUAUAAGAUCUGAAAAACUGAAAUUUUGGAUUUCUCCUAUGUAAUACAGACUUUUGG